CCUCAGAGUGCUGAUAACCUCAAGCAGGUGU
rnacentral:piRNA from 1 species